rnacentral:rRNA from 1 species
GACGUAGGGCGCGAGCGUUGUCCGGAUUUAUUGGGCGUAAAGAGCUCGUAGGCGGCUUGUCGCGUCGACCGUGAAAACUUGGGGCUCAACCCCAAGCCUGCGGUCGAUACGGGCAGGCUAGAGUUCGGUAGGGGAGACUGGAAUUCCUGGUGUAGCGGUGAAAUGCGCAGAUAUCAGGAGGAACACCGGUGGCGAAGGCGGGUCUCUGGGCCGAUACUGACACUGAGAAGCGAAAGCGUGGGGAGCGAACAGG